rnacentral:rRNA from 3 species
CAGGUUUACCUGUGUGACUGCGUACCUUUUGUAUAAUGGGUCAGCGACUUAUAUUCUGUAGCAAGGUUAACCGAAUAGGGGAGCCGGAGGGAAACCGAGUCUUAAUUGGGCGUUAAGUUGCAGGGUAUAGACCCGAAACCCGGUGAUCUAGCCAUGGGCAGGUUGAAGGUUGGGUAACACUAACUGGAGGACCGAACCGACUAAUGUUGAAAAAUUAGCGGAUGACCUGUGGCUGGGGGUGAAAGGCCAAUCAAACCGGGAGAUAGCUGGUUCUCCCCGAAAGCUAUUUAGGUAGCGCCUCGUGAAUUCAUCUCCGGGGGUAGAGCACUGUUUCGGCUAGGGGGCCAUCCCGGCUUACCAACCCGAUGCAAACUGCGAAUACCGGAGAAUGUUAUCACGGGAGACACACGGCGGGUGCUAACGUCCGUCGUGAAGAGGGAAACAACCCAGACCGCCAGCUAAGGUCCCAAAGUCAUGGUUAAGUGGGAAACGAUGUGGGAAGGCCCAGACAGCCAGGAUGUUGGCUUAGAAGCAGCCAUCAUUUAAAGAAAGCGUAAUAGCUCACUGGUCGAGUCGGCCUGCGCGGAAGAUGUAACGGGGCUAAACCAUGCACCGAAGCUGCGGCAGCGACACUGUGUGUUGUUGGGUA